rnacentral:lncRNA from 1 species
AGGUGGUCAACCUUAGGCAUAGUAAAAAUUUACAUACUGAGCAGUCAGGUGUGUGGCGUGCACCUAUAAGCCAGGCUAUUCGGGAGGUUAAGGCUGGAGGAUCACUUGAGCCCACGAGUUUGAGGCUACGGUGAACUAUGAUCAUACCACUGCACUCCAGCCUGGGUGAUAACGUGGGACCCUGUCUCUUUUUUAAGGAAAAUAAAAGAAUGUACACAUUGAUAUAAAUUUUCAUCUACCAGAAUGGCCAGAAUCCAACA